CGUAUUUCACUUCACCUUAAAAUAAUGCAUUUAAAAUUGUUCAACUGGUUUCCUUUAGCAAUUCGUUUAUUUAUAUUGCCGAGGAUGGAAAAGCGAGGGUCUGCCAAGACGGAAGAGACACCUGGGGAGAUGGCGAAGAAACAAAAUGGCCGCCAUUGGACGGAUCGCUUCUAUCAGAGAGAUGGAAUUAACGAUCGGGUGCAUUCGAUGGAAUCAUGACACUUCCUGCGAUUGGAUGACGAUUGACAUCGAUUGGCAGAGAUCGAGUCCAAGUGACAGGAGUCGUGUCGGUCUAGGUAUCACUGUAGCGGUUAAUUUCGUUUGACUCUAGUUGAAAGACGAUCAUAGUACGUAGCGACGAGUCGACGGAGGUCGAAUGUCGCACUAUAAAUAAACCGGAUCGAUCGAUCAGCGAUGGAAAUCGUCAACAAGCACCGAGAGGCGUCCAGGCGUCGGGACGCCACCUCCCGUGGACAGGGCCGUUGCUUGUCGGGUGAGGAGCAGCUGUUACCAUCCGAGAAUCCCUCUUUCUCGCUCACGCAUGCGCGCAUACAGCGACAACUUCCGGCCUUAGCAAGAAACCCCGCGGAGCGUCUCGGCGCUGAAUUUAUUUCGGGCUCGAUACAACUGCAAGAAGAAACACCACGUGUACCGACGUACCAAUGACACGAUAAAGUUGAGAGAGAGAGAGAGAGAGAUAGAGAGAGAUACGAACAGUCGCAUUCGCCGGCCCCCUGCAUCGUUUAAUGCACUAAGCAGACGCUUUACAUAACCUAACUUCUCGUUAUCUCAAAAGGAACGUCCACAUAUCUGACGCAAAGGAAUUCUACAUGGAAAUAAAUAGUAAAUUAUGAAAGAUUUGUAUGAGACAUGGAAAUAAAAUUAAAAAAUUAAGAAGUAA
rnacentral:lncRNA from 1 species